UAGAGAUAGCUGGUUAUUCAGGAAAAGGAUAUUAGUCCUACUUUAAACCUCCACAUAACACCAAAUACACCUAUAAGUUUAAAAUUUAUUCAAAUAAGGUACAGCCUAUUUGAAACAGGAUACAACCUAUAACAGAGGGUAAUGCCAAAACCAACGUGACCAAGUAGGCCUAAGAGCAGCCAUCUUUUAAAAAGCGUUAAAGCCUUAUCACACUUCAUAAUUAAUGUCAACCAAAACCCAAAACCCCUCAUCCAUACUGAAUCACUCCAUACCCAUAUGGAAGAUCCCAUGUUUGAACUAGUAACAAGAACAACUUCUCCAUAAACGUAAAUGUAAGUCGGAAUGGACCACCCACCGACACUUACCGCCAAUGAGCCUAUAGUAACAACUUCCUCAAGAAAACUUUACUUUCUCCCCAACGUUAACCUUACACAAGAACUUUACUGGAAAGAUUAAAAAAAGAGGAAGGAACUCGGCAAACACUAACCCCGCCUGUUUACCAA
rnacentral:rRNA from 1 species